AACAGGAUUAGAUACCCUGGUAGUCCACGCCGUAAACGAUGUCGACUUGGAGGUUGUGCCCUUGAGGCGUGGCUUCCGGAGCUAACGCGUUAAGUCGACCGCCUGGGGAGUACGGCCGCAAGGUUAAAACUCAAAUGAAUUGACGGGGGCCCGCACAAGCGGUGGAGCAUGUGGUUUAAUUCGAUGCAACGCGAAGAACCUUACCUACUCUUGACAUCCAGAGAACUUAGCAGAGAUGCUUUGGUGCCUUCGGGAACUCUGAGACAGGUGCUGCAUGGCUGUCGUCAGCUCGUGUUGUGAAAUGUUGGGUUAAGUCCCGCAACGAGCGCAACCCUUAUCCUUUGUUGCCAGCGGUUCGGCCGGGAACUCAAAGGAGACUGCCAGUGAUAAACUGGAGGAAGGUGGGGAUGACGUCAAGUCAUCAUGGCCCUUACGAGUAGGGCCACACACGUGCUACAAUGGCAUAUACAAAGAGAAGCGACCUCGCGAGAGCAAGCGGACCUCAUAAAGUAUGUCGUAGUCCGGAUUGGAGUCUGCAACUCGACUCCAUGAAGUCGGAAUCGCUAGUAAUCGUGGAUCAGAAUGCCACGGUGAAUACGUUCCCGGGCCUUGUACACACCGCCCGUCACACCAUGGGAGUGGGUUGCAAAAGAAGUAGGUAGCUUAACCUUCGGGAGGGCGCUUACCACUUUGUGAUUCAUGACUGGGGUGAAGUCGUAACAAGGUAACC
rnacentral:rRNA from 1 species